rnacentral:other from 1 species
AUAUCCCUGCUGUGUACGUGAAUAGCCGCAUGUUUUUGCCAACACCAAAUGAAACGGGAGCCUGGCCUUCAUAAGUGGAAUGUAUGCCGGACUUACUGGACACAGGAAGCUUAUGAGAGGGCACCCACCUGACUUGUCAGGUUCAAACACACGGCUUAUCACGGCUCGGUGGGGUUUAU